rnacentral:lncRNA from 1 species
CCUGUUUAAACACUUUUUUCCCCCCCUUGUUGACUAUGUCCUUAUUUGAAGAACCAUCCAACAUUAAUCCAGACUCUUGUUCUUGAGAAGGGUUUCUGGGAGAAAAUGACGGUGUCCAAUUCAAAUUAACUGAGGAUAUUACUCACCUCAUUAAGGUUACAAGUUUUAAAGGAGAUACCACAUAAGCAAAAAUAAACAAAUAGGACCUAACAAAUUAAUAAGCUUUUGCACAACAAAGGAAACUAUAAACAAAUGGAAAAAAAAGACAACCUAUGGAAUGGGAGAAAAUACCUGCAAGUGAUGCAAUCAGCAAGGGGUUAAUAUCCAAAACAUACAAACAACUCAUACAACUGAAUUAUUGAAAAAACAAGCAACCCAAUCAAAAAAAUGAGCAGAAGACCUCGACAGACAUUUCUCCAAAGAAGGCAUACAGAUGAUUAACAGGCACAUGAAAAGAUACUUAACAACCCUAAUCAUUAGAGAAAUGUAAAGCAAACCACAAUGAGGUACCACCUCACAUAGAUCAGAAUGGCUAUCAUCAGAAAGUCUACAAAUAAUAAAUGCUGGAGAGUGAAGAUAAAAGGGACCCCUCCUACACUGCUGGGAAUGUAAACUGGUGCAGCAACUAUGGAAAACAGUAUGGAGAUUCCUUAAAAAACUAAAAAUAGAGCUAUCAUAGAAUCCAGCAAUCCCAUUCCUGGGCAUAUAUCUGGAAAAGACAAAAACUCUAAUUUGAAAAGAUACAUGCACUCCAACAUUCAUAGCAGCACUAUUUAUAACAGCCAAGACAUGGAAACAAUCUAAACUUACAGACGUAGAAAAUAAACUAGUGUUUAUCAAAGGGGAAGGUGGAGGGAUAAACUAGGAGUAUGGAAUUAACAAAUACAAACUCUGACACAUAAAAUAGAUAAGCAACAAGGAUUUACUAAUUGCACAGGAAACUAUAUUCAGUAUCUUGUAAUAACCUAUAAUGGAAAAUAAUCUGAAAAAAAAUUAACAAUCACUUGGCAGUAGGCCUGAAACUGACAAAAUAUUGUGAAUCAACUAUACUUCAAAUCAAAAUUAGGUGAACCCGAAUAUAACUUCAUUUGGUUGGACUGAAAUACAUGUGUUUUUAAUAUCUUGAAAGAAUGCUGUAAUUAUGUAGUAUACUUCACAAUAAGGCUUUCACUAGGAUUAGCAAGUUUGAGAUAUGCUCUUUCUUCUCAAUUUCUGUAUUCUCCAAAAGAACCCAAUACUACUGAACCUAUAAGGGCUGUAUGAUGCCUAAAUAUGCCACAUCAUUUGCUUUAUUUAGUCAUUUAUUAUUUUAAUUUAAGCCAAUUUCCAUGAAUAGUCUCUUUAGAUUUUCCUCUCUCUUGGCAUUGUUGCUUAAAUAGUCAUUUGGACAGUAAAACAUUUAACUGUUUAGACAUAUUAAGGUUUGGUGUCAUUUUGCUUAUGGUAUAUUAAAAUUUAUGCAUUGAGUUUUUCCUUUUCUUUUGUUUGGCAGUUAUCAGGUGUAAAACAGAAUAUUAAUAUUAAAAGAAGUGACUUUAUAUCCUCCAAUAUAAAACAUUUAAAAAAAAAGAUUCAUCUAGAAGAGAGCACUAUUAUGUAACUAAGUACAUGAUACUACAAAGUACAAGUUCACAAACUGAAAAGCCAGUAUAAAUGUUUCACGUAAGGAACUGCUAAAAUGAGAACAGUUAUUUAAGCUUUCAGGUACAAUGAAGAAAAAGUUCACAUACAAACAAUUUAGUGCAAUGCUACAGUCAAUCUUAAAUGGGAAGAGUUUUCUGUUCACAAAUGUUCAGUUUUGUGAAUUCAUGAACUUUAGCCUCCAAAUUAUUCAGACCCACCAUUUUGGUGAAAGAUCAGAAAAUGUCUUUUUCUGAAACUAAACUGGCUGACACAAACGUAUCCCAACUGAAGAAAUCCUAUAGCUAAAUGAAGAUUGUAAAACAAUAAACUGGAAUGUAAUCCAUGAUGGUUUACUUGGUAGUCAUACUGUGGGGUGAAGAGAAGACAUUUGGGAAAACUUUAAUCAAGGUAUUGUUGCAAAUUAGAGUGUGUAAAGAGAAGCUGAUGCAGAGCCUCCAAGGAGUCUGAAGGUCUUAAAUGGAGGUCAUAAAUAGGUUUUUUCCCCUUUUAAAUUCAAGAACUAUAUUCAAUUAUUUCAUAGGUCAGACCCAAUCAGAGAAUACCUGUCCUUAUUCUCUUUAGGAAUAUUUCUGAGGGAAGUAAAUCUCAUAUAUUCUACCCCAUGUCCUGUUUGCAGUGAUCCUAGUUUUAACUGAUGUCAAAACACUUGAUCAAUUUAGUUAAGAAUACUAAGUGAUAGGGAAGAAAAAGAGGUGAAAGGUGAGGGAUUCCAUGUACAAACAGUACUACUUAAAUAAGGAGGUAAAAAGUCCUCUUAAAAUGGUAAGAAAUUAAAGACAUGGGUUAAUUUAACUUUUCGGGCCAAUGGUCACUUGAAUAUUACAUGAAUUACAAAUGGUGAUGGAAUCAUAAUUUUAUAUAAUAGUAUAGGACAAUAUGAUUUCCUAUGGUCUUAUCUCUUUCAGUGUUCCCAAAGAGGCCACUGUGCAGGGAACUGAAAAGCAACUGAUCUUUCUCAAAUCUUCUUUCAGGAGCAUAAGUUUGACAUUUUGUUUUGCUUUGCUUUUUGAGGAUCAACUCCCUCACUUGUCCAGACUGCAUUCCAUGUCACUCGCAAUUCCUAGGGACAAGAAAAUUAGGAACUGUUGAGUUCUGUCUUCUAAACAGAGUAUUCCGUUUUGCGUGAAAUGCUGAUAUAAAGGCGGGAUUAGCUUGGGCAGAGCAGGUCAAACGCCUACUGAGUUGCCCUUGAAUACAUGGCCAUUUUCUACCUGCUCUCUUGCAGCCAUGAGAGUUGAUGGGUCAAGGGCAAGUAUUCAAGAUGUUAGCACGUGCUGAACAUAUGGAAUCACUGAAUUUUUGCAACAUUUAAAAAAAAAAAAACCAGGAAAAGUUGUGCGGUCAUAAUCCAGGUGGUGACCUUUUUUGGGGGGUUAGUUUUAACAUUUCUACCACCUUGAGAAGUUAUUUGAAGUAAGUGGGCUUGGAGAGGCCGGGACUCUGGGGAACGGAAAUUUAAAGAGACUUUGUAGUUGUACUGAUGGAGACAGACAACUCUGCUGGCUUCAGGGAUUAUUAAUUGUGGAAUGUAAUAAUAUGUAAUAAUUGUUGAAUGUAGUAAGAGGGGAACCAAAUCAGUUCCCUUUCAGGAACUCAUACACAAUUUUGCAAGCGAAAGGCCCACCCUCAGCAAGGCGUGCUAACGCUUCAGCAACUAGGAGUCUGACCUUAGCUCACGCUCGGAGAUGACUCCGCACUUAAAACUUUUGCCGGAAGCCGGGCCACGUGACCCGCCCUUUUCCACAGCCAUGCCUAGCGGGGCAGCCGCCAGAGCUCCUACAUUUCCUAGCCCCUCCAGCGUGGGACAGCUCAGAAUCUCCCGACAGGAGGCGGAAUCAGCUAGGUUUCGACUCGAGCGUCGCCACAACUCACGCUUUUCUCCAACAGAGCUUUGCAAGUUCUUCAUCCCAAAACAGCAGCCGGAGACUUCCGCCUGGUUGC